rnacentral:rRNA from 1 species
UUUUCGGUUGAUCCUGCCGGACCCGACUGCUAUCAGAGUGGGACUAAGCCAUGCGAGUCAACGCAGCAAUGCGUGGCAUACGGCUCAGUAACACGUAGUCAACAUGCCCAGGGGACGUGGAUAACCUCGGGAAACUGAGGAUAAACCGCGAUAGGCCAAGGUUUCUGGAAUGGACACUGGCUGAAACCUAUACGGCCCCUGGAUUGGACUGCGGCCGAUCAGGCUGUUGGUGAGGUAAUGGCCCACCAAACCUGUAACCGGUACGGGCUUUGAGAGAAGGAGCCCGGAGAUGGGCACUGAGACAAGGGCCCAGGCCCUAUGGGGCGCAGCAGGCGCGAAAAUUCUGCAAUAGGCGAAAGCUUGACAGAGUUACUCUGAGUGAUGCCCGCUAAGGGCAUCUUUUGGCACCUCUAAAAAUGGUGCAGAAUAAGGGGUGGGCAAGUCUGGUGUCAGCCGCCGCGGUAAUACCAGCACCCCGAGUGGUCGGGACGAUUAUUGGGCCUAAAGCAUCCGUAGCUUGUUCUGCAAGUCUUCCGUUAAAUCCACCUGCUUAACAGAUGGGCUGCGGGAGAUACUACAGGGCUAGGAGGCGGGGGAGGCAAGCGGUACUCAGUGGGUAGGGGUAAAAUCCUCUGAUCCACUGAAGACCACCAGUGGCGAAGGCGGCUUGCCAGAACGCGCUCGACGGUGAGGGAUGAAAGCUGGGGGAGCAAACCGGAUUAGAUACCCGGGUAGUCCCAGCUGUAAACGAUGCAGACUCGGUGAUGGGUUGGCUUUGCGCCAACCCAGUGCCGCAGGGAAGCCGUUAAGUCUGCCGCCUGGGGAGUACGGUCGCAAGUACUGAAACUUAAAGGAAUUGGCGGGGGAGCACCACAAGGGGUGAAGCCUGCGGUUCAAUGGAGUCAACGCCGG